AUUGAACGCUGGCGGCAGGCCUAACACAUGCAAGUCGAGCGGAUGAACGGAGCUUGCUCCUUGAUUCAGCGGCGGACGGGUGAGUAAUGCCUAAGUAUCUUGCUCUUAACUGUGGAUUACGUUCUGAAACGUGGGCUAAUACCCCAAUCGUCCUUACUGCGAAAUGGUGGAAGUUUGGAAUUUUCGGCCGUUGGGGAAGCUAGGGCGGCUUAUCUAGUUGGUGGGGUAAAGGCCUACCAAGGCGACGAUCCGUAACAGGCCUGAGAGGAGGAUGAGUGACACUGGAACUGAGACACGGUACAGACUCCUACGGGAGGCAGCAGUGGGGAAUAUUGGACGAUGGGCGAAAGCCUGAUCCAGCCAUGCCGCGUGGGUGAAGAAGGUCUUCGGAUUGUAAAGCACUUUAAGUGGGGAGGAAGGGCAGUAAGUUAAUACCUUGCUGUUUUGACGGUACCAACAGAAUAAGCACCGGCUAACUUCGUG
rnacentral:rRNA from 1 species